rnacentral:rRNA from 1 species
AGUAAUCUAGGCAGAAAAUGAUGAAUGUCAUAGGCUCAUUAAAUAUACCAUAUUUGCUCGUUAGGGCUGAUAAAAAGUAAAUAGGAUUAUAUUAGGGUCUAUAAAUGAAAGUGUAAGCAUUCCACCUCAAGAGUAAUUUGGCAACAUUGGAACUGAAAUCAUUAGACCGUUUCUGAAACCAGUAGUGAAGUAUGUUGUUUAAUUAGAUGAUACACAAAAACCUUACCACAACUUGAAUAUAUAUAAAAUAUAUUUACAAGCGCUGCACGGCUGUCUACAGUUAAUGUCGUGAGACUUUGGUUAGCUCCAUUAAAUUGACGUAAACCCAAAUUUUAUUUAUAAAUAUAAU